rnacentral:rRNA from 1 species
ACCUACGGGACGCAGCAGUGAGGAAUAUUGGUCAAUGGGCGAGAGCCUGAACCAGCCAAGUCGCGUGAGGGACGACGGCCCUACGGGUUGUAAACCUCUUUUGCCGGGGGACAAACGGCGGCACGCGUGCCGUCCUGAGGGUACCCGGAGAAAAAGCAUCGGCUAACUCCGUGCCAGCAGCCGCGGUAAUACGGAGGAUGCGAGCGUUAUCCGGAUUUACUGGGUGUAAAGGGAGCGUAGACGGUGCGCCAAGUCUGGAGUGAAAUGCCGCAGCUUAACUGCGGAACUGCUUUGGAAACUGGCGG